UUUUUUCUUUUUUUUUUUUUUUUUUUUGCCUUUUUUUUUGCCAUUUCUUGGGCCGCGCCACAACGGGAACUCCUAGAGGUAUAUAUUCUUACAUGGUCACCAUUUCCUAGAAGUUGUAUUCUGUGGAAUAAAUUUAGGAAAUACUGAGCUGUAAAAAUGUUAAAACAGUUUAUUUGCCAGACACUUGCCUAUGCCUUUAAUAUGAUGUUAUUUAAUGUGAAUCUCAAGCCACUGAAUCUUUUAUUUAGACAUAGAAUAUCUAAGAGUAACAUAUAUUAGAAUACAAUAAGACAGAUCUAUUUUUUCAUUUUUAGGGCCACAACUACAGCAUAUGGAAGUUCCCAGGCUAGGGGUCAAAUUGGACCUGCAGCAUCUGGCCUACACCACAGCCACACAGGAUCCAAGCCACAGCCGCGACCUAUGUUGCAACUUGCGGCAAUGAUGGAUCCUUAAGCCACUGAGCAAGGCCAGGGAUCGAACCUGCAUCCUCAUGGAUACUAGUUGGGUUCUUAAUCCACUGAGCCACAAUGAGAACUCCAUUUAAAAAAAAUUUUUAAACCAAAGUUGAUUUACAAUAUAGUGUUAGUUUCAGGUGUACAGCAGGGUGAUUAAGUUUCAUUUUUUUCAUAUUCUUUUCCAUUAUAGGUUAUUACAAGACACUGAAUAUAGUUCCCAGUGCUAUACAGUAAAACCUUCGCUGGGGUCUGCCCACCAUGGGCUCCAGCAGAUCCUUCAGGGAUCACCUCCCCAACAGCUGCCCAUGAGCCACAGUUCAGCAGUGGGCAGCCACCACUGUGUACUCCUUGCAGUGGCCUCUGCCUAGGAAGGCCCUGCCACUGUUGUGAGAACACCGUGUACCUAUCAAGAACAGGAUAACUGCUAUUUCAGUUUUGCCAGGCUAAGAGGACAGAGCAGUGAUGGCUUCCAUCCAAAAGUGGAGAUAUCACCCAAGCCAGAGUGAUGUCCCCCAGGGGUGCCCCCAGUCCCACUGGCACCCACAUAACCAAACUCGGGAAAGCAGCUCCCAUACCUCAGCCCGGACCAUGUGUAAAGGCAAGAUGGGUGCAGAAAUUACAAAUCAUUUCAGAGCUUCCCAACCACUUUCACCCAAUCUCCCUCAUUUGUCUCUCCAAGUCCCAUAAUGUAGGAAGAGAUGAUUACCCCAUUUUACAGAUGAAGAACCAAGACUCGGCAAUUCAGAAAGUCUCACGAUAUAUGUUAUCACUUAGGACAAUAAACUCAGCCUUCCUAAUAUGUUGGCUCUAUUAUUCAUGUUUAUUCUACGUAACAAACACCUGUCUUCCUAGUGGCAAAAUCUGCAAGGAGGAAGACAUAUCAAUGGAUGAGGAAUUAGUAUAAAGAUGAGUAGUCAAAGAGACGUGAUAGAGGAUCAAAGGUAGCAAGAAUGAGAGAGAAACAAAGUCAGAACAUAUGCUAAAUCAACAAAGAUUUAAUUUCUAAAGAUUUGUGUGUGGUCUUUGCUACUAUUCAGAAUCGUUUCUUGAGCAGCUAAUAUAACAUAGCUAGAAGCAGCCUUUGAUUGGUAUGUUUUGUAUACCAGGGAGCAUGGAACCUGACAAGAAGCAAAGGGAGAGAAGGAUUACUCAGCUUAGUGAGACACCUGGAAACAGAGGCUGCAAAGAAGUGUUGGAUAAAAGGAAACAACAAAAGGUAAAAGGUCCAAUAAGCUGGAAAAAAAACAAGGGUUAAGGAACAAGAUGAGGGUAAAAGAAGUUGGAGGUGCCAAGGAGACAAAAGACCAGCACAAAAAGAAAAGGUGAGAUAAAGGACAGUUGAGAGAACCUGCGGUCAGAGAUGGCAGAAUGGGGGUGCCCAGCCUCUGCUCAUUCUCAUACCUCACUAAAUGACAGUAACAGGAAAAAGAAAAAAAAAAGCACAAACCCUGGAGGAUAAAAAAGAACUGAAACUACAGCCGCAACAAAUUCUGAAAUUUGGAAAGCAGGUGGAUAAGUAAGAAGUGACUGAGCAGACCUGAGAAAACUGAAUCUGGGGAAUCUGAAUCUAGCACUAGAGAAGCAAGGAGACUUACACUACGAAAAUUCAAAAGGCUCAGGAAUGGGCCAGAGUAGUUCCCUCUGGAAAUGAGGGUGAAAGUGGGUUACAAACAGGAAGGCUUGUUGAAAGAUUCUUUAAGAAAAUUAGAUCUUUGCCCUUCCUCCAUGCAGCCAAGAGAAUGUCCUCUCCUAACCCUAGCAGACUACACAUUUAUUAUCUAGAAGGCAAAACAGUGUCUUCAGAAUGGGGGACUCAGCACAGUUGAGAGGAUGGACCCCAUAUUGAAAAAGUAAGAGGCAAUGCAGAGAUGACUUACAGAGAUGCACUCAGCUAAAGUGAAGGAGUAAACAAAAAGAUGAAGACAUGAGACUCAGAAAAUAGAGGAUGCAACACACAAAGCAAAGGAAAUCCCUUGGUAGCUGGAGAAAGGUGAUCCCAUCUCCGGGGGUGCCACAUAACCAGACCAACCCAUCUACACCAGAGUGGGUCAGAAGACUCCAGGACGGAAAAGGGAACCCUCCUACACUGCUGAUAGGACUGUAAAUUGGAACAACUGUAUGGAGAACAGCAUGGAGGAUCUUUAAAAAGAACUACCAUAUGAUCCGACAAUCCUAUUCCUGGGCAUGUAUCUGUAGAAAACCAUAAUUUGAAAAGAUACAUGCACCCCAAAGUUCAAUGCAGAACUAUUUACAACAGCCAAGACAUGGAAGCAACCUAAAUGUCUAUCGAUAGAGGAAUGGAUAAAGAAGAUGUAGUAAUAUGUAUAAUGGAAUAUUACUCAGCCAUAAAAAAGAACGAAAUAAUGCUAUUUUCAGCAAUAUGGAUGCAACUAGAGAUUAUCAUACUAAGUAAAGUAAUUCAAAGACAAAUAUCAUAUAAUAUCACUUAUACGUGGAAUCUAAAAAAAAAGCGAUACAAAGGAACUUAUUUACAAAACAGAAACAGACUCAUAUACUUUUUUUUUUUUUUUUUGGUCUUUUUGCUAUUUCUUGGGCCGCUCCCUAGGCAUAUGGAGAUUGCUAGACAUACAAUUGCUGGAUUCCAAGUUAAACUUUAAUCCUGCUCUGAGUUACUGCCAAAUAUUCUUCUCAAAAAGAUGAUACCAAUUAAUAUUUCCGUUAAGCAUUUUAAAAUGACUCUUGGGGAAUUCCCACUAUAGUGCAGUAGGUUGAGGACCCAGCAGAUCCAAAUAAAAUAAAAAAUAAAUGGUCCAAGCCAAGACUUUAUUUAUUUAUUUAUUUAUUUGGCUUCUCCCACAGCAUGUGAAAGUUCCCAGCCAGGGAUUGUGCCUACACCACACCAGCCGCUGCAGUGACAAUGCCAGAUCCACAACCCACUGUGCCAGAGGGAACUCCAAAAGCAGACAUUUCUGUUCAGUGACCCCAGGCAUGGCCUUAGAAUUCUCCACGACAUGGAUUUCCAACCAAGAGGAAGGAGCGGGCAUCUCAAACUAUAUGCUAUCCCUGCAGUAAACUAUGCUGCCUCUCACUUGAUACUAGUUCAUGAUAUUUCCUGAGGGGCAGGACCUACUUUGGCUAUAUUUGUGUAUAUUUGCACAAGUGUGCAUAUACAAUGAACUGUUUUCAUCUUUUUUGAGACAGGAAGCACAGCUGGUUGGCCUAGGACAGGGUAAGAAGACAGCAUCAGUACAGAAUGGAAACAAAGCUGGCAGGCACAGUACCCGGCUAUAUUCAACUGCACUUACCUCUUUUCCAUAGAAGGAACUAUAAAUUCAAGAGGAAGAAUCCUGCUUUUGUUUUCAACAUGCUAUAUAGUUCCUCAAUAAAUCUUCUUUUAUCUGUACUCUAAUUUUUCUCUUCGUUAAAAAGUGUAUACUCUAUUUUUUAAGGUGUAAAGAAAUUCUGAAAUCUAUGUAAUUCAUAACUAUAAACAAAAUUUAACUAGAUAAAGCAAAAAAUACAAGAUAUUAUAAAAUAAUUAAAUUAUAAUUUAAAAAUACCACUUUGUGUCACACUAUUUAUUCAACCAAAAAACAUUCACUAAACCCCUACCAAAUACCAAGUUUUUCCUAGACAAUAGGAACAGAAAAAUGAACAUCAAGACUCAGUCCUUGUUCUAAGCAAGGCCAGAGAUCAAAACUGCGUCCUCAUGGAUACAAGUCAGAUUCGUUUCCACUGAACCACUACGGGAACUCCAUAAAAGCUUUAAACUGAAAAAAUGUUUUUAGCUCCUGGAUCAUUAAAAAAAAAAAAAAAGUAAUUGACUGGAUUCAGUUUUUUGGCCUUAGUUUUGCUCACCCUGCAUUUGGGAAAACUGAGAUAAAUAAAGCAGUGGCUUGAAGGAGAGAAUAAUCAGUUUUGCAAAGGCAAAAAUAAAACGCUUCACAGAGAAGUGGUGCUGAUUUGAACCUUGGAGAAUAAGUAAAAUCCUCCAGGAGAACAAGGGCAAGAUAUAUCUUAAACAAAGAGAUUAGAAAGCUAGAAAUAGUUUGGCAGUAAGAACAAUCUUGAGGGGGCUCCUUCUCUGGCACAGUGGGUUGAGAAUCCAACUGCAGUGGCUCAGGUCACUACAGAGGUGCGGGUCAAUCCCUGGCCCAGUGCAGUGGGUUACAGGAUCUGGCGUUGCUGCAGCUGUGGCUUGGAUUCAAGCCCUGGCUUGAGAAGGUCCAUAUGCCACAGGUACAGUCAUUUAAAAAAAAAUCUUGAAAAAGAACAAAGAUUGGAGGACUCACACUUUCCAAUUUCAAAACUGAUUUGGGGUGGGGAGGGUGCUGCAGCAGUGGCAUACAGAAGUUCCCAGGCCAGGGAUCGAACCUGCACCACAGAAGCAGAGUGUUGUUUAGAGUGACAACACCAGAUCGUAACUCACUGCACCAUAAAAGAACUCCUCAAAACUGAUUUUUGACAAAGGUGCCAAGAAAGGUCAAUGGAGGAAAGAAGUAUUUUCAAAAAAUGGUGCUGGGACAACUGAACAUCCACCUGCAAAAGAAUGCAAUCUGAACCCCUACCUCAGAGAAGUAUACAAAAAACAUCAUAUACAAAAAAUUAACUCAGAGUAAAGAUCUAAAGGUAAGAGCUCAAACUAUGUAACUCUUAGAAGAAAACAUAGGAAUAAAUCUUUGGGAUUUUGGGUAAGGCAACUGUUUCUUAGAUAUGACACCAAAAGCAUGCACAACCAAAGAAGAAAUAAAUUGGACUUCAUCAAAAUUAAAAACUUUUGUGUUCAAAACUCUUUGUUCUAUCAAGAAAGAACCCACAAAGUGGGAGAAAAUAUUUGCAAAUCAUAUAUCUAAAAAGGGUCCAGUAACUACAAUAUAUAAUAAACUUGUAAUUCAACAAUAAAGAGACAACCCAUUUACAUAACCUACCAGGAAUCUAUUAUCAAAAAAUCAGGUAAUAAGUGCUGGCAAUGAUAUGGAGAAAUGAGAAUCCUUGUACAUUGCCUGGGGGGCUGUAAAAUGGUGCAGCCACUCGGGAAAGUCUACUAAUUCCCAAAAAGCUAAACACAGAGUUACCAUGUAAUGUAACCCAGAUAUUCCACUCCUAGAUAUAUACAAGACAGCUGAAAAUAUAUGCCCACAUAAAAACUUGGACAUGAGGAGUUCCCAUUCUGGCUCAGUGGUUAAUGAAUCCAACUAGGAACCAUGAGGUUGUGGGUUCGAUCCCUGGCCUUGCUCAGUGGGUUAAGGAUCCGGUGUUGCUGUGAGCUGUGGGGUAGGUCGCAGACGCAGCUCAGAUCC
rnacentral:lncRNA from 1 species